UUGGCAGAAGAGUGCAGUUUCUCUUGCAUGACUGACUUGCCCAAAAGGAGGACGUCCGAGAAAGAAUGUGUGCCAGCCCCUACCGCAUCAAUCUCAAUCAAAAUCAUCUUGUCUGUACAGGUGUUGUAGCAAGAAGUUUUGGAUGAAAAAGGACGCCAAAAAUAUGAGGCAAUCUCACUCCACAACUACCUGAAACUAUUCUCUUUUCUCUGGACGAACGUCAAUAGAAGUGUGGAUUUUAUUCCCUGCCCCUCACUGGAUUCCAGGCAGCAGACAGACAGAAGCAGAUCUUUUUAAAAAUAUGUAAUUGUAAUGAUUUAAGUCUCUAAGAUCUAGAGUAUUUUGUUUGUCUGGACGUCUAAUCAUACAGACCUUAGCCGUCAUAUUAAAAUGGCGAAUUUUAUCCUUUGGCAUUUGAAAGCACAACAUACAUAAUCCUUUAUCUCUCCCAGAGCUAUUAGCUUUUUGGCCUUUGGCUGGCCGAUGUAUACAGUAUCUAUAGUUAUUGCAUGCAAGGGCUCUCAACUGACUCCCCAGGUCUUUGAUCAAACCAGCUAAACUUGAUUUUCCAGAUUGCUGAAGAGACAAGGCCUACAACUAUCAGCUUUUCAAGUCCUGGCAAGCAAUGGAGACCCCUUGCUCCCUCCCGGGCUUUAUCAGAAUCAAAGGUGGCCCAAAGCCAAGAGAUAACUAUGAAGAUCUUCCAUGAAGUUCUUACAAAAGGUGGCCUCAGGUCACCACCACUAAGAUGGAGCACCUUCCAUCCAGGACCUCAGUGCACCUUGCAAAUGUCAUAAAUCUUCAAAGCCCUUCCAUAAUGGAGGUAAGUAUCUAUGGUCACACUUUUAUAGGCAAAGAAGCACAAAGCAGGCAAGUGUUCUCUUUUUUAAAGUGGAAUAUGCUUUGGUCAAAGAUUUAGUCAUCACUAAGAGUGUAGUGAAAACCCAUGAACACUUACUGAAGGGUACCUGGGUGAAGUGUCUCACUGGCGAGCUUCGCUUUUCCUGCCAGUUCCUGGACAAUAUUAUUUGAAAAUCACAUGUUAAUAAAUCAAAAAUUAUCUGCUGAUAAUUAGUCAGCUUUUACAAUGACUAGUAUAGAAAAUGGCUCCUGGACCUUCAUAGUUAUAUGGCAAAUUCUGAAAAUAGAAAUGGCCAAACACCUUCUUCUCCUUCUCUUUCUCUUCCUCCUCCUUCUCUACUACUACUAGUGUUAUCUCCCCGCCCACCCAUGUGUGUUAUAUGGCGUCUCUGAGGAGCAUCAAUGGUGGUCCAGGAACAACUUUCUGAUUUUAGUUCUCACCUUCCACCUUUACAUGGCACAUGAAUUACUUUUGUGUUGAUGUGAUAAAAACCUAUGACCAAAAGCAAUUUAAGGAAGAAAAAGGUUUAUUUUGGCUUACAGGUUCAGAGGGAUGGAGUUCAUUAUGUUUGGGAAGGCAUGAUGAUUGUUAGAAGAUGCAUUGUGACAAGAACUGGAAGCUGGCUGAUCACAUUUUUAUCCACCCACAGGAAGUAGAGUGAAGCCAUAAACUCUCCAAACCCACUCCCAGUGACUUCCUCUAACAGAGCUAGACCUUCUAAAGUUUCCAUACCCUCCUCAAAUAGCAGCACCAGCUGGGGACCAAGUGUUGAAACAUAAAAUUACUGAGGCCAUUUCCUAUGUAAACCACAGCAUGUUGGUUCCAAAGACUGAUCUCAGGUCAUCAGGCUUGCAUCGACAGGCAAAAGUGCCUGAACUCACGAAACCAUCUCAUUGGUCCUCCACACAUUUUUUUCACUUGAUCUUUGCCAAAAGGCCAAGAAGUGAUCCCCAAACCUUUUUAUCAUCUGACACCAAAGCAAUGGAACUUAGAGAUGAGUACAGAGACUAUCUAGUCAAGCGUUUUCAUAAUUUAGAUGAGAAAAUUGGGAUUGAGGAAGGUUAAUAAGUAACUUUCAUGAAAUCACUCAGCUUUUAAAACCUUAAUUUAAUUUCUCUGCCCUCACUUUUGAUGCAGAAAGGGUUUAAUUUGGCUUAGUCAUUCAGUUGGUUAGUGGCAUCAAUAACUAAAAUCCAGGCUCCUGGCCCUCAUCAACCCAUCUUCCCAAUGAACUACAUUCACAGUGUGUGCCUUUCUGCAUCCUAAGUAUUAUGAAAUCAUAAGAUGUGGGAAUUGUGAGGAGUUGACUAUUGUUCUGCUGUGCUUUAAUUUCAGAGGAAUCUGAUACUCAGGGAGCUUACGGGAAUCACUUGAGGCUCUAUGGUUAGUGACCAUAGAGCCACAGAAACCCAGACUCACAAUUUCCCCUUCCUUCCACAGAUCUGAAAUGUUAAUUUGUUAACUAGGAUCCCAGCAACCAAAACCAUCAAUACAGUUUUAUACUGACUUUUCAGAAGUAUGCUUUUAUUAAAAACAAUUUAAAACAAAAUAAAUCACAACAAAAACUCCAGGGAAUAGGUAAAGAGUAACCAAAAUUCUGCUUGUUUUUUUGACAUGUUCUGGACCUGGAAAUCUGACAAUGGGUGAUAACUUAUAAAGACCACUAGGAACUGCAAGAAUCCAAAGUGCUGACUGAUGUUCAGAGCUCAAACCAUCCUCAUCAGAGUUUCAGGAGUGUGCAUUUUGUUUAUGAUUAAAAUUGUCAGCUGCUUUUAGUGGCAUAUUCUGAUAGUCCUAGAUAUUCAGGAGACUGAGGCAGGAGGAUUACUCAAGUCAAGAGUUGGGGAAGAAUUGGUAGAAUGAGAUCUUGUCUCAAACAAAACUGCCACCCCCAAUCAAAAGAAAGAAACAAAGAACAAUAGGAAGGUUGGGAGAAAGGGAAAGAGGGAAGGAGGGAGAGAGGGCGGGAGAACAUCGAAGGCCAUAGAUAAUGUAUGGUGAUCCUCACUAAACAAAAAUAAUUAAUGACAGCGGCACACUGAUUUUUUUUAAACCAUCAUGGAUAACCUAGAACUUAGGAAUGUUUAUGUAUUUUUGAGUGUGUUAACUCAUUCUCUGGCCACCCAACUAAAGGGAAGAAUGCUUGAAUCCAUUGAAGAUAGCUGUCCCUGUAUUUUACAUAUCCUUCCUUCCUUUGGAAGUUAGCACAAUAAUAUGCACCUUGGAUCAC